rnacentral:rRNA from 1 species
UACGUAGGGUGCGAGCGUUAAUCGGAAUUACUGGGCGUAAAGCGUGCGUAGGCGGCUAUGUAAGACAGAUGUGAAAUCCCUGGGCUUAACCUAGGAACUGCAUUUGUGACUGCAUUGCUUGAGUGUGGUAGAGGGAGAUGGAAUUCCGCAUGUAGCAGUGAAAUGCGUAGAUAUGCGGAGGAACACCAAUGGCGAAGGCAAUCUCCUGGACCUGCACUGACGCUCAUGCACGAAAGCGUGGGGAGCAAACAGG